UACGGGGGGGGCAAGCGUUGUUCGGAAUUACUGGGCGUAAAGGGCUCGUAGGCGGCCAACUAAGUCAGACGUGAAAUCCCUCGGCUUAACCGGGGAACUGCGUCUGAUACUGGAUGGCUUGAGUUCGGGAGAGGGAUGCGGAAUUCCAGGUGUAGCGGUGAAAUGCGUAGAUAUCUGGAGGAACACCGGUGGCGAAGGCGGCAUCCUGGGCCGGUAUUGACGCUGAUGCGCGAAAGCCAGGGGAGCAAACGGG
rnacentral:rRNA from 1 species